rnacentral:rRNA from 1 species
CCUACGGGUGGCAGCAGUGAGGAAUAUUGGUCAAUGGACGAGAGUCUGAACCAGCCAAGUAGCGUGAAGGAUGACUGCCCUAUGGGUUGUAAACUUCUUUUAUAUGGGAAUAAAAUGUUCCACGUGUGGGAUUUUGUAUGUACCAUAUGAAUAAGGAUCGGCUAACUCCGUGCCAGCAGCCGCGGUAAUACGGUGGAUCCGAGCGUUAUCCGGAUUUAUUGGGUUUAAAGGGAGCGUAGGUGGAUUGUUAAGUCAGUUGUGAAAGUUUGCGGCUCAACCGUAAAAUGGCAGUUGAAACUGGCAGUCUUGAGUACAGUAGAGGUGGGCGGAAGUCGUGGUGUAGCGGUGAAAUGCUUAGAUAUCACGAAGAACUCCGAUUGCGAAGGCAGUUCACUGGACUGCAACUGACACUGAGGCUCGAAAGUGUGGGUAUCAAACAGGAUUAGAUACCCCAGUAGUC